CCUACGGGAGGCUGUAGUGGGGAAUAUUGGACAAUGGGCGAAAGCCUGAUCCAGCCAUGCCGCGUGUGUGAAGAAGGCCUUCGGGUUGUAAAGCACUUUCAGUGGGGAAGAAAGCCUUGGGGCUAAUACCCUCGAGGAAGGACAUCACCCACAGAAGAAGCACCGGCUAACUCCGUGCCAGCAGCCGCGGUAAUACGGAGGGUGCGAGCGUUAAUCGGAAUUACUGGGCGUAAAGCGCGCGUAGGCGGUCUGAUAAGCCGGUUGUGAAAGCCCCGGGCUCAACCUGGGAACGGCAUUCGGAACUGUCAGGCUAGAGUGCAGGAGAGGAAGGUAGAAUUCCCGGUGUAGCAGUGAAAUGCGUAGAGAUCGGGAGGAAUACCAGUGGCGAAGGCGGCCUUCUGGACUGACACUGACGCUGAGGUGCGAAAGCGUGGGUAGCAAACAGGAUUAGAUACCCUAGUAGUC
rnacentral:rRNA from 1 species